rnacentral:rRNA from 1 species
UCCAUGCCUUAAACGAUGUAUACUAGGUGUAAGAGGGAUCAACCCCCCUUGUACCGGAGCUCACGCAUUAAGUAUACCGCCUGAGGAGUACGCUCGCAAGGGUGAAACUCAAAAGAAUUGACGGGGGCCCGCACAAGCAGUGGAGCAUGUGGUUUAAUUCGAUGCAACGCGAAGAACCUUACCUGGGCUCGAAAUGUAGAGGACGAUUACAGAGAUGUAAUUUCCCGUAAGGGUCUCUAUAUAGGUGCUGCAUGGCUGUCGUCAGCUCGUGCCGUGAGGUGUUUGGUUAAGUCCAGCAACGAGCGCAACCCUUAUCGUUAGU